GUUANAGUUUCUCUCCUUCUCCAUCUGAAACCAUCAAACCCUCUGAAAAUAAAGCUGCAGCUUCAGGUCUGCAGCUUUAUGUGAUUCUGUCUCUGGUCAUCAAGAUCAUCUUGUUCUCAACACCUUUGGUGAUUUUCUGCUUGAAUAGGAGAGCCAUGAGAAACGCAGAUUCUGCUGUGGAAACUGAGAACGCUGAUGAAAUAUUUACAGUUUAUUCCUGAACUAAACUCCCUGAAACAGUCAGACCUCAAAGUACAGAUGAAGAGCAUUUAGUCUCAUGUUUUCACAGUAAAAUAAUCAAAAAUCAAGCACGUUGCACAGUUUCGUACAGGACCUAAAUGGUGAAAUAAGUUCUGCUACUUGGCUAAAAAAUUGUCCUCUGUUCAGUUUUACAUAAGUUGUUUUAAAGAUGAUCUAAUCGCUGUGUUGUAACCAUUUUAAUGUUUAUUUUCAACAUGUUUUAAGUAUGCGAAUGUGUUCAUGUUCUUCGUUUGUAUUUUUGCCUCUGUUGUUUGAUUUAUUGGUUCUUUAUGAUAAAAUUUCGCAGCUUUUUCUUUUUCUCUGUUUUGAAGAUGUUUUUCAAGUUUUGCAAUAAAGCAAAUAAAUAUUUUUGUUAUUUUUCCGACUGUGGUCAAAGAAGUUGUCGUGUAUUUAAAGUGUUUACAUCAAUUUACUUUUGCGAGGUAGUCUUAAAUGU